UACGGAGGGGGCUAGCGUUGUUCGGAAUUACUGGGCGUAAAGCGCACGUAGGCGGCUUUGUAGGUUAGAGGUGAAAGCCCGGAGCUCAACUCCGGAAUUGCCUUUAAGACUGCAUCGCUUGAAUCAUGGAGAGGUGAGUGGAAUUCCGAGUGUAGAGGUGAAAUUCGUAGAUAUUCGGAAGAACACCAGUGGCGAAGGCGACUCACUGGACAUGUAUUGACGCUGAGGUGCGAAAGCGUGGGGAGCAAACAGG
rnacentral:rRNA from 1 species